AUUAUAGAAGUUUGAGGGGUUAAAUUAUUAUUACAAAUAUUAAGGGUCUAAAUUAAAAUAAAAUAAAUUAAGGGUUUAAGAUGAAACAUCCCAAAACCAAAUACUAGAAUUCACAAGAAUAAAUCAAGACCCUCUCAUCAAACCCCAAAACCAAAAUAUUACUCAAAUUUUGAAUUAUUUACCAAAAAUCCAAAUAAAACUAUAAAUCUAACAAAAUUUAUCAAACCUCAAAUUUUAUUCUAAAACUCAUAAAUAAUCUAUCCAAAUAUCAUAUUAAAGUAUACCAAAGAAAAGUAAGAUUUAAAGGGACAAAAAAUUGAUUCAUUUUUCCAAUUUUCUGAGCUAAAUCAGAAUUAUUUAAAAAAUAGGGGUCAAGACGCAAUUUUGAAAACAUUGCAUGCGUCUUCUUCGCGCAGAGGCUUUCUUCUUCAGUUUCUGGGUUCUUUCUUCUGCAACUUCAUUAUUCAACUGGGAUGUCUAUGCGAAAUAACUCAAACGAAGCCUACUGAAUCAUCAACCAAACCCAAAAGCUAUAACCUCAAACCCAUGUUGUUAACACCACACAAAACACAAUUGCCUAUUCCCAACAGAUUCAAUGAUGCAACCGGAUAUGAAAAAAGCAGCAACUUUAACAAGCGAAAAACCAAGAAUUCGGACCCAAAAAGCAGAAACCCAUGAGACCCAAAAUCCACAGGCAAAGUUCAAUGCAAUUCCAGCAAGAAAAUCUGAUCUAAAUGCUAGGAAAUAAGCUGAAAAUAACAGCAGAAAAAGAAAAAAAGAGGAAAAACAAGUUCGGCAAGAAUUUUUGACUAGUUUGAUGCGAUUCUAAACUUAGAUAAAGCUGGAAAAGAUGAAAUACCAUACCUCUAAUGAUUUAAGAAGUCGAAAGAGUGCAAUAAACCUCACGGAAAAGGGAUCCGAACGCUGAAACAAUGAAAGAUAACUUUCGCCGACGAAUGUUCAAGAACUGUGAUGGCAGCAAGUUCAAGCUUGGAUUUGAAGGUCUUGUAGCCGUUUUUUCCAGAAAUUUUCAACAUGAAAUUUCCUCUACAAGCAUCAUAGAAUACUCAUAAACAAAUAUUUUCUCUAGAGAAGCUCUACAUAGAUCGAAAAAUGGCCACCAAUUUCUUCCAACAGUCAACCCUGGCUCAAAUUUUCCAGAUUCCUUUUUCUGCUCUGGUCUCUCUCUUUUUCCUCUUUCUUUUGCUUCCCUUUUCUUCUCGUUUUUCUUUCUAUCUUCCUCUCUGAUGUUUCCUCCUCCUCCCUUGCUUGCUCUCUUGAUCCUCAGCCGUCCGCCUUUCCUUGUUUUAUCCUUCUCUCGGUUCUCUCUUUCUUUUUCCUUUCUUUUUCCCUCCUGCCCGAAAGCUCUCUCCUUUCUCUCUCACCAAAAUCUCUCUCUUUUUUCUCUCUUGUUUCCUCCUUUACCCCGCAGCUUCCUCUCCUAAUCUCUCUUUUUCCUUGAUUGCUGCCGAAACCCUCCUUUUCAUUCCUCUUUCUUUCUUUUUUUCCCACUGCCCGCAGCUCCCUUGCUCUUGUUCAAAACCCUUUUUACCUUUCUUUCUUUUCUCCCCUUUUCCCCUACUGCCCG
rnacentral:lncRNA from 1 species